GGCCGCAAGGUUAAAACUCAAAUGAAUUGACGGGGGCCCGCACAAGCGGUGGAGCAUGUGGUUUAAUUCGAUGCAACGCGAAGAACCUUACCUGGUCUUGACAUCCACAGAAGAAUCCAGAGAUGGAUUUGUGCCUUCGGGAACUGUGAGACAGGUGCUGCAUGGCUGUCGUCAGCUCGUGUUGUGAAAUGUUGGGUUAAGUCCCGCAACGAGCGCAACCCUUAUCCUUUGUUGCCAGCGGUUAGGCCGGGAACUCAAAGGAGACUGCCAGUGAUAAACUGGAGGAAGGUGGGGAUGACGUCAAGUCAUCAUGGCCCUUACGACCAGGGCUACACACGUGCUACAAUGGCGCAUACAA
rnacentral:rRNA from 1 species